GAACCGUGCAAACGUUAUUCGGAAUCACUGGGCAUAAAGGGCGCGUAGGCGGCUUGACAAGUCAGGGGUGAAAUCCGGCAGCUUAACUGUCGCAGUGCCUUUGAUACUGUCGAGCUCGAGGGAGGUAGGGGUCUGUGGAACUUCCGGUGGAGCGGUGAAAUGCGUUGAUAUCGGAAGGAACGCCGGUGGCGAAAGCGACGGACUGGAUCUCUUCUGACGCUGAGGCGCGAAAGCCAGGGGAGCAAACGGGAUUAGAUACCCCGGUAGUCCUGGCCCUAAACGAUGGGUACUAGAUUGCGGACUUACAUGGGUUCGCAGUCGAAGCUAAUGUUUUAAGUACCCCGCCUGGGGAGUAUGGUCGCAAGGCUG
rnacentral:rRNA from 1 species